UUAAGCGACCAAGCGUACACGGUGGAUGCCCUGGCAGUCAGAGGCGAUGAAGGACGUGCUAAUCUGCGAAAAGCGCCGGUAAGGUGAUAUGAACCGUUAUAACCGGCGAUGUCCGAAUGGGGAAACCCAGUGUGACUCGUCACACUAUCAUUAACUGAAUCCAUAGGUUAAUGAGGCGAACCGGGGGAACUGAAACAUCUAAGUACCCCGAGGAAAAGAAAUCAACCGAGAUUCCCCCAGUAGCGGCGAGCGAACGGGGAGGAGCCCAGAGCCUGAAUCAGCAUAUGUGUUAGUGGAAGCGUCUGGAAAGGCGCGCGAUACAGGGUGACAGCCCCGUACACAAAAGCGCAUAUGCUGUGAGCUCGAUGAGUAGGGCGGGACACGUGGUAUCCUGUCUGAAUAUGGGGGGACCAUCCUCCAAGGCUAAAUACUCCUGACUGACCGAUAGUGAACCAGUACCGUGAGGGAAAGGCGAAAAGAACCCCGGCGAGGGGAGUGAAACAGAACCUGAAACCGUGUACGUACAAGCAGUGGGAGCAUGAGUUUACUCAUGUGACUGCGUACCUUUUGUAUAAUGGGUCAGCGACUUAUAUUCUGUAGCAAGGUUAACCGUAUAGGGGAGCCGGAGGGAAACCGAGUCUUAACCGGGCGUUAAGUUGCAGGGUAUAGACCCGAAACCCGGUGAUCUAGCCAUGGGCAGGUUGAAGGUUGGGUAACACUAACUGGAGGACCGAACCGACUAAUGUUGAAAAAUUAGCGGAUGACCUGUGGCUGGGGGUGAAAGGCCAAUCAAACCGGGAGAUAGCUGGUUCUCCCCGAAAGCUAUUUAGGUAGCGCCUCGUGAAUUCAUCUCCGGGGUAGAGCACUGUUUCGGCCAGGGGGCCAUCCCGGCUUACCAACCCGAUGCAAACUGCGAAUACCGGAGAAUGUUAUCACGGGAGACACACGGCGGGUGCUAACGUCCGUCGUGAAGAGGGAAACAACCCAGACCGCCAGCUAAGGUCCCAAAGUCAUGGUUAAGUGGGAAACGAUGUGGGAAGGCCCAGACAGCCAGGAUGUUGGCUUAGAAGCAGCCAUCAUUUAAAGAAAGCGUAAUAGCUCACUGGUCGAGUCGGCCUGCGCGGAAGAUGUAACGGGGCUAAACCAUGCACCGAAGCUGCGGCAGCGACACUGUGUGUUGUUGGGUAGGGGAGCGUUCUGUAAGCCUGCGAAGGUGGCCUGUGAGGGUUGCUGGAGGUAUCAGAAGUGCGAAUGCUGACAUAAGUAACGAUAAUGCGGGUGAAAAACCCGCACGCCGGAAGACCAAGGGUUCCUGUCCAACGUUAAUCGGGGCAGGGUGAGUCGACCCCUAAGGCGAGGCCGAAAGGCGUAGUCGAUGGGAAACGGGUUAAUAUUCCCGUACCUGGUGUUACUGCGAAGGGGGGACGGAGAAGGCUAUGUUGGCCGAGCGACGGUUGUCCCGGUUUAAGCGUGUAGGCUGGUUUUCCAGGCAAAUCCGGAAAAUCAAGGCUGAGGCGUGACGACGAGGCACUACGGUGCUGAAGCAACAAAUGCCCUGCUUCCAGGAAAAGCCUCUAAGCCUCAGGUAACAUCAGAUCGUACCCGAAACCGACACAGGUGGUCAGGUAGAGAAUACCAAGGCGCUUGAGAGAACCCGGGUGAAGGAACUAGGCAAAAUGGUGCCGUAACUUCGGGAGAAGGCACGCUGACACGUAGGUGAAGUGAUUUACUCAUGGAGCUGAAGUCAGUCGAAGAUACCAGCUGGCUGCAACUGUUUAUUAAAAACACAGCACUGUGCAAACACGAAAGUGGACGUAUACGGUGUGACGCCUGCCCGGUGCCGGAAGGUUAAUUGAUGGGGUCAGCGCAAGCGAAGCUCCUGAUCGAAGCCCCGGUAAACGGCGGCCGUAACUAUAACGGUCCUAAGGUAGCGAAAUUCCUUGUCGGGUAAGUUCCGACCUGCACGAAUGGCGUAAUGAUGGCCAGGCUGUCUCCACCCGGGACUCAGUGAAAUUGAACUCGCUGUGAAGAUGCAGUGUACCCGCGGCAAGACGGAAAGACCCCGUGAACCUUUACUAUAGCUUGACACUGAACACUGGUCCUUGAUGUGCAGGAUAGGUGGGAGGCUUUGAAGUGUGGACGCCAGUCUGCAUGGAGCCGUCCUUGAAAUACCACCCUUUAAUGGCUGGUGUUCUAACGUAGACCCGUGAACCGGGUUGCGGACAGUGUCUGGUGGGUAGUUUGACUGGGGCGGUCUCCUCCUAAAGCGUAACGGAGGAGCACGAAGGUUGGCUAAUCCUGGUCGGACAUCAGGAGGUUAGUGCAAUGGCAUAAGCCAGCUUGACUGCGAGCGUGACGGCGCGAGCAGGUGCGAAAGCAGGUCAUAGUGAUCCGGUGGUUCUGAAUGGAAGGGCCAUCGCUCAACGGAUAAAAGGUACUCCGGGGAUAACAGGCUGAUACCGCCCAAGAGUUCAUAUCGACGGCGGUGUUUGGCACCUCGAUGUCGGCUCAUCACAUCCUGGGGCUGAAGUAGGUCCCAAGGGUAUGGCUGUUCGCCAUUUAAAGUGGUACGCGAGCUGGGUUUAGAACGUCGUGAGACAGUUCGGUCCCUAUCUGCCGUGGGCGCUGGAGAACUGAGGGGGGCUGCUCCUAGUACGAGAGGACCGGAGUGGACGCAUCACUGGUGUUCGGGUUGUCAUGCCAAUGGCACUGCCCGGUAGCUAAAUGCGGAAGAGAUAAGUGCUGAAAGCAUCUAAGCACGAAACUUGCCCCGAGAUGAGUUCUCCCUGAGACUACGAGUCUCCUGAAGGAACGUUGAAGACGACGACGUUGAUAGGCCGGGUGUGUAAGCGCAGCGAUGCGUUGAGCUAACCGGUACUAAUGAACCGUGAGGCUUAACCUU
rnacentral:rRNA from 1 species